rnacentral:rRNA from 1 species
UACGUAGGGUGCAAGCGUUUGUCCGGAAUUAUUGGGCGUAAAGAGCUCGUAGGCGGUGUGUCACGUCGGCCGUGAAAACCUGCAGCUUAACUGUGGGCUUGCGGUCGAUACGGGCAUCACUGGAGUUCGGCAGGGGAGACUGGAAUUCCUGGUGUAGCGGUGAAAUGCGCAGAUAUCAGGAGGAACACCGGUGGCGAAGGCAGAUCUCGUGGGCCGUAACUGACGCUGAGGAGCGAAAGCGUGGGGAGCGAACAGG